UGGAAUAUUUUUUUACUGCCCUUGGAAGAGUAUUUGCUCCUCCUAUUGUUCCAAGGACUUAUAUAAAUGUCGGAUGAAAUUUUCGAUUUUAAUUUAAAUUAAGUAUUUCUAUAGUUUGUGGUCAAAGAAACUCAAGUUUCUCAAGAUGAAAUCUAUCAUUGCUUUGAUUUUGGGCGUGAUGCUCUUUGCCUCUGUCUUCGCCGAAGAAAAGAAAGAGGAAGUAGAAAAGAAGCCAGAACAGCAGAACGUGGCUUGGCCCGGUUUUUAUUACCAUCCUUCCAUCCCAGCCCUUCCAGUGGCUCAUUACUACCCAUCACCUUAUUAUCAUCCAGUCAGCUACCAGCAGUGGUGGAAGUAAAAAUAUAAAACAGUCCACGAUGAUUCCUGCGAGGCGUCGUAGGAAAAGAAUCCUUAAUUUCUUAAGAAAUUAAGAAGAUUUCUAAUUUGCUGGACUCUACAAUAUCUUAAACUACGUUGUUUGCCAAGACUAUAAUGAAGAUUUAAGAAAAAAAUAUACAUAAGUUUGGUUAUUAAAAAGCUUAACCCGAUUGUCGUUUUCAACCGUUUUGGUUUUUCCCAUUUUUUCGCUUCUAUUUUUUAAUUGCAAAAAACAUAUCGAAAAUGAAAACUUGAUAUUUUUUGUGUCUUUAAAGAAUUUGAAUAAUUGGGUUACAUGGCAUUAUCUUAUCUUUAAAAGAAAUGAUUUAUUUUAAUUACUACUCAUUGUAUUUCUGUAAGUUUUUUUCCUGUUGGAGUGAUUGUUGUGCAUGCUUUCAUAAAGUUUAAUAAAAUUAUGUCUUCUUAUUUGCA